GAUGAACGCUGGCGGCGUGCCUAAUACAUGCAAGUCGAGCGAACGGACGAGAAGCUUGCUUUUCUGAUGUUAGCGGCGGACGGGUGAGUAACACGUGGAUAACCUACCUAUAAGACUGGGAUAACUUCGGGAAACCGGAGCUAAUACCGGAUAAUAUUUUGAACCGCAUGGUUCAAAAGAGAAAAAAGGUCUUGCUGAUACAUAUAGAUGGAUUCGCGCUGCAUUAGCUAGUUGGUAAGGUAACGGCUUACCAAGGCAACGAUGGAUAGCCCACCUGAGAGAGGGAUCGGCCAAACUGGAACGGAGACACGGUCCAGACUCCUACGGGAGGCAGCAGUAGGGAAUCUUCCGCAAUGGGCGAAAGCCUGACGGAGCAACGCCGCGGGGGUGAUGAAGGUCUUCGGAUCGUAAAACUCUGUUAUUAGGGAAGAACAUAUGUGUAAGUAACUGUGCACAUCUUGACGGUACCUAAUCAGAAAGCCACGGCUAACUACGUG
rnacentral:rRNA from 1 species